CUUCUCAACCAGUUUACCUCUCUGACCGCUCUUACGGUGUUUGGGGGCAAAAAACUAAGGAUCUAGACUCUCUAAACCGCUCGCUGGGUCCUUCUCUCCCCACAAUGCACCGGGGCCAGCAGGAAGGCCGCUCCGACCCCUAAUUUUCCCGCGAAUUCAGUUCAAAGAGGCGGCCGGGCCCGCGAUCGGCAGCGCGCACCGGCCAACCAAGCCGCGCCUCCGCGAGAAGCGCCUCCGCGUGACUGACGGGGGAAUCCGCGGGCCAACGGGCUGGGCGGCCCGGCGGUGCGCGCUCCCGCCGGCCAAUCAGAGCGCCGGGCGGGGGAAGUGGGCGGAGCGAGGCCUGGGUAGGGUGAGCGGCCUCCGAAGCGGAGCGGGGCUCUGAGGAGACACUUUUUCUUCCUCCCUCCUUCCCUCCUCUCCUCCUGCCUUCCCUUCCCCUUUCCUCCCCUCUCUCCUCCUUCUCCCCUCGGUCAGCCGGAGCCUGCUGGGGCGAGCGGUUGGUAUUGCAGGCGCUUACUCUCCGGGGCCGCCCGGCGAGUAGCUGGCCGGGGAAGGAGGCAGGAACCGCGAUGGCGCCUCAGAAGCACGGCGGUGGGGGAGGGGGCGGCUCGGGGCCCAGCGCGGGGUCCGGGGGAGGCGGCUUCGGGGGUUCGGCGGCGACGGCUUCGAGCGGCAAAUCCGGCGGCGGGGGCUGUGGAGGCGGUGGCAGUUACUCGGCCUCCUCCUCCUCCGCGGCGUUACCGGUGAAGAAGUCGAAAAUGGAGCACGUCCAGGCUGACCACGAGCUUUUCCUCCAGGCCUUUGAGAAGCCAACACAGAUCUAUAGAUUUCUUUGAACUCGGAAUCUCAUAGCACCAAUAUUUUUGCACAGAACUCUUACUUACAUGUCUCAUCGAAACUCCAGAACAAACAUCAAAAGCUUGUCAGCUCAUUUGCAGCUUACAUUUUUGGUUUCUUCCACAAAAAUGAUAAGCCAUCACCAAACUCAGAAAAUGAACAAAAUUCUGUUACCCUGGAAGUCCUGCUUGUGAAAGUUUGCCACAAAAAAAGAAAGGAUGUAUGUUGUCCAAUAAGGCAAGUUCCCACAGAGUGACUCGUCCAAGAAGAAGAGAGUUUAAUGGAAUGAUUAAUGGAGAAACCAUGAAAAUAUUGAUGUCAGUGAAGAGCUUCCAGCCAGAAGAAAAUGAAAUCGUGAGGAUGGGGAAAAGACAUUUGUUGCACAAAUGACAGUAUUUGAUAAAAACAGGCGCUUACAGCUUUUAGAUGGGGAAUAUGAAGUAGCCAUGCAGGAAAUGGAAGAAUGUCCAAUAAGCAAGAAAAGAGCAACAUGGGAGACUAUUCUUGAUGGGAAGCUAUGGACUACUUAGAAGGUUGAGCACAUUAUAGUUAUGAACUCCCAUUUUUGAUUGAUGUUUUCUUCCCCAAAUGCUAAUUCAUGUUGGAAGUAGAGGCCUUUGUUUUUUAUACUUUAAAAAACACAAGUAAAU
rnacentral:lncRNA from 1 species